AUGCCCACCUCAGCAGCGUAUACACUAACACUGCAACAGUAAGAAAAGGUUGGCAUGGGCCCUGCACAAGAUGACACAAAAAUUUAUGAAGUGUUCUAUAUUUAA